GAUGAACGCUGGCGGCGUGCCUAAUACAUGCAAGUCGAGCGAACGGACGAGAAGCUUGCUUCUCUGAUGUUAGCGGCGGACGGGUGAGUAACACGUGGAUAACCUACCUAUAAGACUGGGAUAACUUCGGGAAACCGGCGCUAAUACCGGAUAAUAUUUUGAACCGCAUGGUUCAAAAGUGAAAGACGGUCUUGCUGUCACUUAUAGAUGGAUCCGCGCUGCAUUAGCUAGUUGGUAAGGUAACGGCUUACCAAGGCAACGAUGCAUAGCCGACCUGAGAGGGUGAUCGGCCACACUGGAACUGAGACACGGUCCAGACUCCUACGGGAGGCAGCAGUAGGGAAUCUGCCGCAGUGGGCGAAAGCCUGACGGAGCAACGCCGCGUGAGUGAUGAAGGUCUUCGGAUCGUAAAACUCUGUUAUUAGGGAAGAACAUAUGUGUAAGUAACUGUGCACAUCUUGACGGUACCUAAUCAGAAAGCCACGGCUAACUACGUG
rnacentral:rRNA from 1 species